GACGAACGCUGGCGGCGUGCUUAACACAUGCAAGUCGAACGGAAAGGCCCUGCUUUUGUGGGGUGCUCGAGUGGCGAACGGGUGAGUAAAACGUGUGUAACCUGCCCUUGUCUUUGGGAUAACUUCAGGAAACUGGGGCUCAUAUCCGAUAGGAGCUACUGCUGCACGGUGGGGGUUGGAGAGUUUCGGCGGUAGGGGAUGGACUCGCGGCUUAUGCGCUUGUUGGUGGGGUAGUGGCUUACCAAGGCUUUGGCGGGUAGCCGGCCUGGGAGGGUGACCGGCCACAUGGGGACUGAGAGACGGCCCAGACUCCUACGGGACGCAGCAGUGGAGAAUAUGGCACAAUGGGCGGAAGCCUGAUGCAGCAACGCCGCGUGCGGGAUGACGGCCUUCGGGUUGUAAACCGCUUUCGCCGGUGACGAAGCGUGAGUGACGGUAAUGGGUAAAGAAGCACCGGCUAACUACGUG
rnacentral:rRNA from 1 species